GGAAGUGGGGAUGACGUCAAGUCCUCAUGGCCUUUAUGUCUAGGGCUACACACGUACUACAAUGGCCGGUACAAAGGGCAGCCACUCAGCGAUGAGGCGCUAAUCCCAUAAAGCCGGUCUCAGUCCGGAUCGCAGUCUGCAACUCGACUCCAUGAAGUUGGAAUCGCUAGUAAUCGCGGAUCAGUACGCCGCGGUGAAUACGUUCCCGGGCCUU
rnacentral:rRNA from 1 species